CCUGGCUAGGACGAACGCUGGCGGCGUGCCUAACACAUGCAAGUCGAACGGACGAGGGGAGCUUGCUCCCAAGUAGUGGCGGACGGGUGAGUAACACGUGAGCAACCUGCCUUCGAGGGGACAACAGCCGGAAACGGCUGCUAAUACCGCAUGACAUAUCCUUGAGGCAUCUCGGGGAUAUCAAAGAUUUAUCGCCGAAGGAUGGGCUCGCGUCUGAUUAGCUGGUUGGUGAGGUAACGGCUCACCAAGGCGACGAUCAGUAGCCGGACUGAGAGGUUGAACGGCCACAUUGGGACUGAGAUACGGCCCAGACUCCUACGGGAGGCAGCAGUGGGGAAUAUUGGGCAAUGGGGGGCAACCCUGACCCAGCAACGCCGCGUGAAGGAAGAAGGCUUUCGGGUUGUAAACUUCUUUGACGAGGGACGAUAAUGACGGUACCUCGAAAACAAGCCACGGCUAACUACGUGCCAGCAGCCGC
rnacentral:rRNA from 1 species